UACGUAGGGUGCAAGCGUUGUCCGGAAUUAUUGGGCGUAAAGAGCUCGUAGGCGGCCUGUUGCGUCCGCUGUGAAAUCCCGGGGCUCAACCCCCGGGCGUGCAGUGGAUACGGGCUGGCUGGAGGCAGGCAGGGGAGAACGGAAUUCCUGGUGUAGCGGUGAAAUGCGCAGAUAUCAGGAGGAACACCGGUGGCGAAGGCGGUUCUCUGGGCCUGUACUGACGCUGAGGAGCGAAAGCGUGGGGAGCGAACAGG
rnacentral:rRNA from 1 species